GGGCUUGUAGUCUAAUGUAAGAUUCCCCGCUGUUAACGGGGAGAUACGGUGAAAACUCUGUCGGGCUCG
rnacentral:tRNA from 1 species